ACUCCCACCAUGUCCCCGCAAACAGCACUGAAUUUAUUUCCAGGCAACCAGUGAGCAAGGCUGAGAACUUGUCCCAGGUUACGAGACUCCCAUCAGUAAUGAGCCAGAGAAGAAGGAAAGGCAGAUGAAUUUGCCAGCAUUAUUGCAGGUAUCUUGAAGGAGAGUUGAGCCCAGCUUUUCAAUUCAUACAGAUCCUUUCUCUGAAGAACCCCUUCCUGAUAUUGUCACUUUAACACAUCUCUGUGGUUUUAUUUUGAAAUUUUUAAAGGUACAGUCAUGUGCCGCAUAAUGACAUUCAGUCAAUGACAGACUGCAUAUAUGAGGUGGUCCUGUAAGGUGAUAAUGGAGCUGAAAAAUUCCUACUACUGAACGACAUCAUAGCCAUUGUAACAUCAUAGCACAACCAAUCACCUUUUCUAUAUUUAGGUAUGUUUAUUUAGAACUGUAUUAGUCCAUUUUCGUGAUGCUGAUAAAGAUAAAACCAAGACUGGGAAGGGUACAACACUGAAGGCACCGCCCAUGAAAGUUACAAGUCUGAACCACACGUAGACUAUCAUAAAGAAACUCUGGCUUGAUUUAAACAACAAAGAAGUGUAUUAUUUCAGGUAAAUUGAAAAUCCAGGGGUGGAGUGGACUUCAGAGUUAGUUGAUUCAAUUGCUCAGCAAUAUCUUAGAAGACUCAUCCUCUUACUAUCUUUCCUUUCUCCCACUUUUAAUGUUGGCUUCAUCCUCAUGCCGGUAGCAAGAUGGCUACAGAAGUUCUGGAAAUAUACCAGACGUGGCAAUGCUGCAGAGGAAGGAGGGAGAAUAUGCCUUUCUGCAGAUCUUUCUUGGAGGAGAGGCAAGUUUCUCCAAAAUUACUCAGAUGAUUUCCCCUCAUGUGUCUCUGGCUGGAAUUAGGUCACAUGGCCAUUCGAUAAGGAGUUCAUAUGCUGGAAUGAUAGUGACACAGGAGUUUAACACUCCUACAGUAUCCAGAGCCUGGAUCCCUGAGUCAUCAGAUGGAGAAGAACUACUCAGGAGAGUCAUCCAACCUUCAUAGACAGUGGCAUGAGUGGGAAUUAA
rnacentral:lncRNA from 10 species